CCCCGUUUGUGGUCGGUGUACAGGUGGUGCGAUGGUUGUCGUCAGCUCGUGUCGUGAGAUGUUGGGUUAAGUCCGCUAACCGAGCGCAACCCUCGCUGUGUGUUACAAGUGUCACACGGAACUGCCGGUCAUAAACCGGAGGAAGGUGGGGAUGACGUCAAGUCAGCAUGGCCUUUAUAUCCUGGGCUACACACACGCUACAAUGGGAAGGGACAAUAGGUUGCGAAGCCGCGAGGCGGAGCCAAUCCAGCAAAACUUCCCUCAGUUCAGAUUGCAGGCUGCAACUCGCCUGCAUGAAGUUGGAGUUGCUAGUAAACGCAGGUCAGCCAUACUGCGUUGAAUACGUUCCCGGGGCUU
rnacentral:rRNA from 1 species